UACGGAGGUUGCAAGCGUUGAUCGGAUUCAUUGGGCGUAAAGGGCGCGGAGGCGGAAAUGUAAGUCGAACGUGAAAGACCGAAGCUUAACUUCGGAACUGCGUACCAAACUGUAUUUCUUGAGGGUAGGUUGGGAAAGCGGAAUUCCACGUGUAGCGGUGAAAUGCGUAGAUAUGUGGGGGAACACCGGUGGCGAAGGCUGCUUUCUAACUUAUUGCCUGACGCUGAGGCGCGAAAGCGAGGGGAGCAAACAGG
rnacentral:rRNA from 1 species